rnacentral:rRNA from 1 species
AGUGAACGCUGGCGGUAGGCCUAACACAUGCAAGUCGAACGGCAGCACAGUAAGAGCUUGCUCUUACGGGUGGCGAGUGGCGGACGGGUGAGGAAUACAUCGGAAUCUACUUUUUCGGGGGGGAUAACGUAGGGAAACUUACGCUAAUACCGCAUACGACCUACGGGUGAAAGCAGGGGAUCUUCGGACCUUGCGCGAUUGAAUGAGCCGAUGUCGGAUUAGCUAGUUGGCGGGGUAAAGGCCCACCAAGGCGACAAUCCGUAGCUGGUCUGAGAGGAUGAUCAGCCACACUGGAACUGAGACACGGUCCAGACUCCUACGGGAGGCAGCAGUGGGGAAUAUUGGACAAAGGGCGCAAGCCUGAUCCAGCCAUACCGCGUGGGUGAAGAAGGCCUUCGGGUUGUAAAGCCCUUUUGUUGGGAAAGAAAAGCAGCAGGUUAAUACCCCGCUGUUCUGACGGUACCCAAAGAAUAAGCACCGGCUAACUUCGUG